rnacentral:rRNA from 1 species
GUUGCAGGGUAUAGACCCGAAACCCGGUGAUCUAGCCAUGGGCAGGUUGAAGGGUGGGUAACACUAACUGGAGGACCGAACCGACUAAUGUUGAAAAAUUAGCGGAUGACCUGUGGCUGGGGGUGAAAGGCCAAUCAAACCGGGAGAUAGCUGGUUCUCCCCGAAAGCUAUUUAGGUAGCGCCUCGUGAAUUCAUCUCCGGGGGUAGAGCACUGUUUCGGCUAGGGGGCCAUCCCGGCUUACCAACCCGAUGCAAACUGCGAAUACCGGAGAAUGUUAUCACGGGAGACACACGGCGGGUGCUAACGUCCGUCGUGAAGAGGGAAACAACCCAGACCGCCAGCUAAGGUCCCAAAGUCAUGGUUAAGUGGGAAACGAUGUGGGAAGGCCCAGACAGCCAGGAUGUUGGCUUAGAAGCAGCCAUCAUUUAAAGAAAGCGUAAUAGCUCACUGGUCGAGUCGGCCUGCGCGGAAGAUGUAACGGGGCUAAACCAUGCACCGAAGCUGCGGCAGCGACACUGUGUGUUGUUGGGUAGGGGAGCGUUCUGUAAGCCUGUGAAGGUGUGUCGUGAGGCAUGCUGGAGGUAUCAGAAGUGCGAAUGCUGACAUAAGUAACGAUAAAGCGGGUGAAAAGCCCGCUCGCCGGAAGACCAAGGGUUCCUGUCCAACGUUAAUCGGGGCAGGGUGAGUCGACCCCUAAGGCGAGGCCGAAAGGCGUAGUCGAUGGGAAACGGGUUAAUAUUCCCGUACUUGGUGUUACUGCGAAGGGGGGACGGAGAAGGCUAUGUUGGCCGGGCGACGGUUGUCCCGGUUUAAGCGUGUAGGUGUGUGUUCCAGGUAAAUCCGGUUCACUUUAACACUGAGGCGUGACGACGAGGCACUACGGUGCUGAAGCAACAAAUGCCCUGCUUCCAGGAAAAGCCUCUAAGCAUCAGGUAACAUCAAAUCGUACCCCAAACCGACACAGGUGGUCAGGUAGAGAAUACCAAGGCGCUUGAGAGAACUCGGGUGAAGGAACUAGGCAAAAUGGUGCCGUAACUUCGGGAGAAGGCACGCUGACACGUAGGUGAAGUGAUUUACUCAUGGAGCUGAAGUCAGUCGAAGAUACCAGCUGGCUGCAACUGUUUAUUAAAAACACAGCACUGUGCAAACACGAAAGUGGACGUAUACGGUGUGACGCCUGCCCGGUGCCGGAAGGUUAAUUGAUGGGGUCAGCGCAAGCGAAGCUCCUGAUCGAAGCCCCGGUAAACGGCGGCCGUAACUAUAACGGUCCUAAGGUAGCGAAAUUCCUUGUCGGGUAAGUUCCGACCUGCACGAAUGGCGUAAUGAUGGCCAGGCUGUCUCCACCCGAGACUCAGUGAAAUUGAACUCGCUGUGAAGAUGCAGUGUACCCGCGGCAAGACGGAAAGACCCCGUGAACCUUUACUAUAGCUUGACACUGAACAUUGAGCCUUGAUGUGUAGGAUAGGUGGGAGGCUUUGAAGUGUGGACGCCAGUCUGCAUGGAGCCGACCUUGAAAUACCACCCUUUAAUGUUUGAUGUUCUAACGUGGACCCGUUACCCGGGUUGCGGACAGUGUCUGGUGGGUAGUUUGACUGGGGCGGUCUCCUCCUAAAGAGUAACGGAGGAGCACGAAGGUUGGCUAAUCCUGGUCGGACAUCAGGAGGUUAGUGCAAUGGCAUAAGCCAGCUUGACUGCGAGCGUGACGGCGCGAGCAGGUGCGAAAGCAGGUCAUAGUGAUCCGGUGGUUCUGAAUGGAAGGGCCAUCGCUCAACGGAUAAAAGGUACUCCGGGGAUAACAGGCUGAUACCGCCCAAGAGUUCAUAUCGACGGCGGUGUUUGGCACCUCGAUGUCGGCUCAUCACAUCCUGGGGCUGAAGUAGGUCCCAAGGGUAUGGCUGUUCGCCAUUUAAAGUGGUACGCGAGCUGGGUUUAGAACGUCGUGAGACAGUUCGGUCCCUAUCUGCCGUGGGCGCUGGAGAACUGAGGGGGGCUGCUCCUAGUACGAGAGGACCGGAGUGGACGCAUCACUGGUGUUCGGGUUGUCAUGCCAAUGGCACUGCCCGGUAGCUAAAUGCGGAAGAGAUAAGUGCUGAAAGCAUCUAAGCACGAAACUUGCCCCGA